CUUCCUCUUCUUCUCCAGCCAGAUCCUCACUAGAUGCCUCUCCGAAAGGCAUCCACCAGGCGAUCUACGACCUCCACGGCCAGAUCUCAGCGAGAUCCGUAGGCUCCGACCUCGUUCCCAGUUUCUCAGGCUCCUCUUCCUCCGGCAGUGGCAGUCGGCAUGAAGCAGUUUGACCUGCUGGUUCAGCAGGUCAGGGGCCUCACUGAAGCAGUACAGGCCAUGCAACAGCAGCAGCAACAGUCGCAGGCAUCUGUGCGGCUGGAAAGAGCAUCGUCGGAGUUCCAAAAUCCGAUGAUAGGACGGGCCACUUGGGUCAGUCGUCC
rnacentral:lncRNA from 1 species